UACGGGGGGUGCAAGCGUUAAUCGGAAUUACUGGGCGUAAAGCGCGCGUAGGCGGUUAAUUAAGUCGGGCGUGAAAUCCCUGGGCUCAACCUAGGAAUUGCAUUCGAUACUGGUUAGCUAGAAUGUGGUAGAGGGAAGUGGAAUUCCAGGUGUAGCGGUGAAAUGCGUAGAUAUCUGGAGGAACAUCAGUGGCGGAGGCGACUUCCUGGACCAACAUUGACGCUGAGGUGCGAAAGCGUGGGUAGCAAACAGG
rnacentral:rRNA from 1 species